AAGGGCGGGGCUCCAUGAUCGACCUAAUCCCGCUGCUGUCAUUCACGGAGACCGCCGAACGGUAGAGGGGGGUGCGGCUAGAGCGGGCGGGCAGGAUUUAGGGUAACCAGGUUGCUCGAGUGUACACCAGUGGGUGCAAUGAUGAUCUCCCGCCACCAGGGGAGGCUGGAGGCCACUUCUAGUGGUGGCAAUUAUAUCUUGUGACACCAGAGGGUGCUGGAAUGUCUUCCGGUUGGAAUUGUGAAGUCCUCAGGAUGCCAGAGAGAAGACCGCUACUGGAACAACUUGGCUAGCGAUGCUGCCAGACCUGCUGAGCUUCACCAGCAAUUUUGUUUUUGUUCCUGAUUUGCAGCAUCCGCAGUUCUUUUGCUUUUUGUUUAGGAUUGUCAGGAGUUUCAUUAACAUUCAAUAUUUGUGGUGACUCUGAGAGCAGUGGGACUUGACUUCCAGUGAGUCAUGAUGCCAGUGACAUUACUGCUACAGCACCGCUUCCCCCUGUUGUAUGCUUUGGGAUUAUCUGAAACGCUGAAUCUCAUGGUCCAAUGCAUAAUCCACAAUAGAACACAUAUGAACACAAACCUACCUCUGGAAUAUUGUCCCGAAGCAGUCAAACCUCUUAGCUCUGGACACCGAAGAAUCAUGGCAAACAAAUGAUGAAUUAUAUUAGCCCAUCCUGCCAACCAGGACUGUCAACAUGAGGGAAAUUCUCACAGAGGUAUUUAUGAAUAGCAAGAUCUAACAAUGCCAUUUUGAGCUCCAUUUAAUGGCAUGGAUCACUGCUUUCCAAAGAGUAGUGCAUGGCAAAACUGUUCAUAUUUUAAACCUCAGUUUCAUACUGUCACUUUGCAAAUCUGCUUGAAUGAAUGAGACGCAAUCCUAUUACGAACCCAACAGGUAUAUUCAGUAGGUGCCAGUGCUGAGUAUUAUUUUAAUAGAGAAAACCUUCAGAGAGAUGAAGCACAGAGGGAUAUGGGAGUCUCAUACUUAAAUCACAAAACGUUAGCAGACAAAUUCAGCAGAUCAUUGGGAAGGCAAAUAGAAUGUUGACCUUUAUUUCAAAGGGAAUAGUGUCUUAAAAUAGGGAAAUCUUGCUAAAACUACACAAAACACUAGACAGACCACACCUAGAAUACUGUGAAUAGGUUGAUCUUUUCAUCUAAGGAAAUGUUUACUGGAGUUGGAGAGAGUGUUCUCUCUGUGGAAUUUUUUACCACAAAGUGCUUUCGAGGCUGGGUCAUUAAGUACAUCUAAGACUGAGAUGGACAGAUUUCUAACCAGUAAAGGAAUCAAGGGGUAUCAGGAAAGUGGAGUUGAGGGUGAUAUGAUCUGCUGUGAGCUCAUGAAAUGGUGAACAGACCCGAUCUGCCUGAACAGUCUACUUCUGCUCCUAAUAAGCACAUAAAUGAGUUAACCAUUUUAUAGUUUUAAAUGCUAUUUAAGGAGAAGAGAAGCUGUGGAACUUAUUCACUACAGUAUAUAAAUGAAUAUUUGGAGUGUUAAUAAAGCACUAAGGAUAUCUCUCACCCAGGAAAAGAUUUGAAGAGUAGUUGAGGUUGUUAACAAGCUAAUUUAAGUUGUCAUAGAGUCAUACAGCAUGGAAACAGACCCUUUGGUCCAACCAGUCCACGCCGAACAUAAUCCAAAACUAGUCCCACCUGCCUGCACCUGGUCCAUAUCCCUCCAAACCUUUCCUCUUCAUGUACUUACCUUUUAAAUGUUAACAAAAUGUAUUGCUAAUGAUUCCAUAAUAUCAUUUACACGUGCUGUGGAGAUGUCUUUUGUUUUUUUUCUUGUCCCAUUACCAUCCACUUGGCCUCGCACCUUCUACUUUUGUCAUUUAAUAUCUCCUGCUUUGUAUUUCCGUACGCUGUAGAAAUAUGAACUGCUAUAAGUUAUAAACUUAAAGUGCAAAACGUAUCCUCAGAUCUUGAGCUCUGGGGGAGAAGAAAAACAAGUUUAAAUUUGAAAUGGAUUAAAAUACAAAUAUGUUUCAAAUACAUGUAAGACACUAUUUAACAACCGGGGAACAAUUGUAAAACAACAUACAAGAGCAGAUCACAGAGAGUUAACAUUUAGUUCAGUGACUUGCAAACGCUCAAGAAAAUCAGCUUCAAGCAGAGAAGAUUUAUAUCUCAUUAAAAUACAAAACCAAGCUUCUCACCCUCAGAAACAAGUUUCUUCAUUUUUCUUUUGCAUAUCAAAGCUGUUUGCCUUCUAACUUUUUUAAUUCUUUCUAAACAUUUUAAUCUCAAUUUUUCUCUUUUCUUUGUCAACCUUAUUUGUAGUGGGAGUGGGGUUCAGAAUGUUUUCUUUUGUAAUCAGACACACAAGCAGUUAGAAUAUACUGUCACAAAAGGGGAGUUUACCUCUGUUCGUGUCAGCCAGGACUAAUGCUUUUUGUCUGCCCAAUUUCCCUUGUAAUUCCAACUUUCUGAAUUUAUGCAGAGGAUUCAACACCUCUAUUUAACUGUUUCUCUUGAAUGGUGAGCCUCUUGUUUGUCUUGUUCCAUCAGCUCUUGUUUGAGUUGUUUCACGUCAAUGAAAGCUCCUUCUGCAUGCAGACGAGAUAGGCUGUACUAAAUAAAAGCAGAAUACUGCAGAUGAUGGAAAUCUAAAAUAAGAACACAAAGAGCUGGAGAAACACAGCAGGUCUGGCAGCACCGGUGUGGAGAGAAACAGAGUUAACAUUCCAAGCCCCGUAUGACUCUUCUUUCACAGUGAAAGGAGGUGGAAAUUGGUGAUUUUUAUGUUUGUGACAGAGCAGGAAGGGGAAGCAAGUGCAGCAGAUAGUGAACAUGCGUAGAGCAAAAGACAAAGUCAGUGAUAAUUGUGGAAAAAGAGAGCUAAAUAUGUUGAAUACAGGUAACUAUUAGCUGUGGAAAGGAGACAAUGGGCCCACUCUGCUGAGAGGUAGGCAAAAAGAUACACAUAAGACCCAGCCAGGGCAGAGAGGGGGAUGUAAGAAAAAUGGAGUAUAGAGGUUGUACUUUAAAGUUGCAGAUCUCGAUGUUGAAUCCUGGGAAUAGUGAAGUGCCCAAGAAGUAACUGAAAUGUUAUUCUUCCAGGACAGAUAUGAUCUGCAAUGCAUUCAGGCAGAUGACCUCUAAUGUACAAGCCUGCCACUUUAGCCCAUUUAUCCCCGAUCUUUCUGCUGCAAUUAUCAGGCAGCGCGGUAUCUCCGUGGUUAGCACUGCCGCCUCUCAGCACCAGGGACCCAGGUUUGAUUCAGAGAAUGUUUGGAGAAAGGGGACAGUGACCUAUUUAAGGAUAUAGUUGUGUUUGUUCAGAGUCUAAUGGGUAAGAAGUGAAAAGCAGAAAAGGCGAUAGGGCUUUUGGUUUAUGGAGCAGACCAUCAUGCUGAGAAAGCUGAUGAGAUGGUCAACAAGAAUCAGGAGGCAAAGAACUGAAUGACGAAAACAAUUCAUAGAAUCACUACAGUGUGGACACAGAACAUUCAGCCCAUUCAGUCCACUCCGACCCUCCGAAGAUCAUCCCACUCAGACCUAACCCCUACUCUGUAACCCUGUAUUUCCCAUGGCCAGCCCACCUUAACCUGCACAUCUUUGGACUGUGGGAGGAAACCGGAGCACCCGGAGGAAACCCACACAGACAUGGGGAGAACGUGCAAACUCCACACGGACAGUCACCCAAGUGUGGGUGGUUUGGGCUUAGAAGAUGAUCACAGUGGACAUUUUAGGCUGAGACCUUUUUAGAAACAAUUUUAGUCCAUGGAAGUCUCAGGAAUUAAAGUUAAAUGAUGUAAGUUGAAUAUUGCUAUCCGUUUUCAAUGCAAUUGUAAUAAAUCUCAUUGGUUAAGGCGAUAAACUGUGGUCCCAUCAUUCUCUGAAGACCCAAAUGUCCUGUUGCCCUCACUACUCUGUAAUCAACUCCCACUUCCAAUGAGUUCCAGGAGUGUCUUCAAAGAACACAGAGGUGGAGAGGCUUAAAGCAGGAAUUCCAAGGCUUAAUAUCCUCAUCUUCCUUUAUCAUGGAAUCUUCUAAUGUUUUAUUAGUUGAGAGAGAUUUUCAGCUUUCAUGCUGUUGCUUCUGUAUUUUUGUUGUGUUACUACCCUCUGACCAGCUUUAUCCCACCUGAUAUUGGAGCCAGA